GGACCUAGUUCUACCAAUUUUCUUUCACAUUAGCUUCUUUUGAAGCUAUUUGUAUGGGCAUAUACAUGCUCAGGAGUUCUGGGACCAUUACUAUUAUUAUUUUGAUAAUAACAUCUGUUUUUGACUUAUAUGACUACAAACUGCAAUUUCAGUACCUAAAAUUACACCAAAUAGAAAGCUACUGAAAUUAUAAAAUAUCUUCUCUUAAAAAUGAAAAUACCUCUGGGUGCUAAUUGGACAUCCCAUCUUCAGUACUUAAGUGUGUAUUGAUUUAAUCAGAUUACAUUCCCCAAGACAAUGGAGGAUAUCUAGCUGAAGUCAGCUUCACUAAGGAAUAUUGUCGAGUGUUAUGUGGCAGAGCACUGGGUGUAGAUAGUUUGAGUCCAGGUUUUUCUACUUACUACUCCAGCCUGUCUCAACCUCUAUUAUCUCAUUUGUAAAAUCAGGUCCCCUGUCCCACUCACAGCACUGGGUUAGUAGGAGAAUCAGGUGAAAUAAAGUAUGUGGUAACACUUUUAACUAUGAUGUACCAAACAAUAUACCACUUUUAUUCUUGUCUCCUGUAGCAGUGGUCCUGACAUAUUUAAGCAAACAUUUUUUAUGCACUCCAAUUCCCUCAUGGUGUGAGAACACUGAAGCCAGCAGGGAGGAAUGAGAGAGGUUCGGAAGGAAGAUGCCAACACGUGAAAAGGACACUCUUCCUUUCUUGGCAUACAAUGAGUUAUUCACGAAAGAAGCAAUCUCUUUAACCUGGAAAGAGGGCAGGGAUGAGGAUUAUAGGAAGAGGUAUGUUACUGAAAAGGAGCCUUGGUGGCACAGUGGUUAAGCACUUGACUGCGAACCAAAAGGUUUGUGGUAGAACCCACCCUGUUUCUCCGUGGGAGAAAGAUACAGCAGUCUGCUUCUGUAAAGAUUACAACCGUGGAAAUCCUAUGGGGGCAGUUCGUGGCAACGGGUUUUAUGUUGUUGAGAGGGGAUGGAUUGAAUUUACCCUUAGGAAUUUAAUGAGAGACAAGAAAGAAUAUCAGAGCUUCCAUAUACAAACAAGCAAGGAAGGCAUGAGGUGUAGUACAAGGACAGUUGCUGACAACAUCGCAAGAUUCUGGAACCUUGAUAACAUCUAUGUACGUGUGUUCAUUACCCAGUUCUUCCUAUUAACUGUAGUACUAGGUUUCCUAAAAUGGGAAGGAGGCUUGGCUCUUCUUUGAGGGAGGUUUCUUUGUCUUGGGAGAGUAGAAAUCUCAAGAAUAAGGUAGGAAGCUAUGAAAAGAAGAGCCGCUGAAUACUUGGGAGCCUGUGAUUUAAGAAAAAAAAAACAAGGGCCAACAACAGGGGUACUGCUUGGUACUGACAAGUGACCCCUGAGGCUUAAAAAGAAACUAUCUAGUUCCUUAAUAGUAUCACCAAGAGAUACUUUGAUAUUCAAAAAAUUUGAUAUGAUUAACCAUGUACCAGACUAUUCAUUAAUCUUUUACUGUGCUGGUUCUUCUAUUUCCAGGACCUCAAACUCAAUUUAUAUUAUUAAUUAGCUACAUUGUAAAUGAAUUGGGCUUUUGGUGGGCUGCUGUUAGAACUAAACUACUGUUUAUAACAUUUUUAUUCAGGUACUUGUUCCAAAUUCCGUAUAGAUUCCUUCCAUUCAUAGAUAAGAUUGUUAAUAAGUAAAAAUAUUUAGUUUCUUUAAGCUUAGGCUUUUAAAUGGUAACAUUAAAAAAAAAUCCUAUAAGUAGUUAAUCUUAUGUUUACCAAUAAAGUGUACUUUCCCAGUUGAAUGUAUAGUAGAAGCUUCAUUUGUAGAAUUUUGGCAGGAUUAUUAAACUUUAUAUUUACUUAUUUAACUUUUUAAGUUCUCUCUUUAGCUUUCUUUUGAUGUUAUGAAUCAAUUUUGAAGGAUCAAGUGACAUUUUCUUAGCAAUAAAGAAGAAAGCCUCUUUGUGCUGACUUUAAUCAGAGGAGCCAAAUAGGAUAGAAACUUGUUCAGGUUUUUGCGAAUCAGUACAGUGGUAAAAAUGCAUGAAAUUACCAUACAUGGAGAACUUUUUCUAAUAGAGAAGUUAGUGACAGAGAGACCAAUUUUUGAUGACCAUCAAAAUUGUGAAGACCAUGUGCUCCAUGAUGAUACUCAUCCAGUGUAAAAUCUGUAAACUGUAGUGCUUCUAAACCCCAGAUUUGAACCCUGCCAUUGUUAUUUGAAGAUUCAGACGCAUGAAAAUUCAAGAUGAUGUAAAUCAAGUUCUUUUCCUUCAAAGAGAAAGCAUUUUCUUACUAAAGGUUAAGGAGAAAGAGGAAAAAAGACAAGCAGGAUAGUCAGCAGGAAGAAAGAUCCUCUUAAAGAAGUGGCAACCAAAUUCUUCAUAAAGAACGGCUAUUCAGGAUCAUUGGGUUGGAAAGGGAUUGAGAUAGAAGUGGAGAACUUGAAUAGAAAAUUCGCAUUGAUUGUAAUGCUGAUAUUCUGAUGGAUUAAGGUGUGAAGAGACCUGUCUCAUUUAAAAGUAAGUAUUUCAAUGCCACUUUUAAAAUAUAUAAAAUUAUUUUUCUUAAAGAUGCAUAACUUUCCACUAUAACUGUGAGUUCCCCACCCCCUACCAAACACUCAAAUUCAAGGAAUGAAGGGAUGAGAGAGUUACUUCCUUUCUUCAUCAAAAAAUCAGAACUUAAUGUGAUUUUGCAACUUUAUACAAUUUAUUAUAAUUAAAACAGCAGUUUAAAUGAAGUUACUCAGUAGUUUCUGCAAAUGACAUAAAAAUAUAGUUGAAUGAAUGUUGAUUUUACACAAAUUAA